rnacentral:rRNA from 1 species
UACGGAGGGGACUAGCGUUGUUCGGAAUUACUGGGCGUAAAGCGCACGUAGGCGGAUUUGUAAGUCAGGGGUGAAAUCCCGGGGCUCAACCCCGGAACUGCCUUUGAUACUGCAAGUCUCGAGUCCGAUAGAGGUGGGUGGAAUUCCUAGUGUAGAGGUGAAAUUCGUAGAUAUUAGGAAGAACACCGGUGGCGAAGGCGGCCCACUGGAUCGGUACUGACGCUGAGGUGCGAAAGCGUGGGGAGCAAACAGG